rnacentral:rRNA from 1 species
UACGUAGGGACCGAGCGUUGUCCGGAUUCAUUGGGCGUAAAGAGCUCGUAGGCGGCUGUUCAAGUCGAACGUGAAAACUCGGAGCUCAACUCCGAGCCUGCGUUCGAUACUGGACGGCUAGAGUCUGGUAGGGGGAUCUGGAAUUCCUGGUGUAGCGGUGGAAUGCGCAGAUAUCAGGAGGAACACCAGUGGCGAAGGCGAGUCUCUGGGAUGAUGCUGACGCUGAGGCGCGAAAGCCAGGGGAGCAAACGGG